GGAAGGCAGCAGGGGGAAUAUUGCACAAUGGGCGCAAGCCUGAUGCAGCCAUGCCGCGUGUAUGAAGAAGGCCUUCGGGUUGUAAAGUACUUUCAGUCGUGAGGAAGGUGUUAAGGUUAAUAACCUUAGCAAUUGACGUUAGCGACAGAAGAAGCACCGGCUAACUCCGUGCCAGCAGCCGCGGUAAUACGGAGGGUGCGAGCGUUAAUCGGAAUUACUGGGCGUAAAGGGCACGCAGGCGGUUAAUUAAGUUGGAUGUGAAAUCCCCGGGCUUAACCUGGGAAUGGCAUUCAAGACUGGUUAGCUAGAGUCUUGUAGAGGGGGUAGAAUUCCAUGUGUAGCGGUGAAAUGCGUAGAGAUGUGGAGGAAUACCGGUGGCGAAAGGCGGCCCCUGGACAAAGACUGACGCUCAUGUGCGAAAGCGUGGGGAGCAAAAC
rnacentral:rRNA from 1 species